rnacentral:rRNA from 1 species
UACGUAGGGGGCAAGCGUUGUCCGGAAUCAUUGGGCGUAAAGAGCGUGUAGGCGGCUCGAUAAGUCUGCUGUGAAAGUCCAGGGCUCAACCCUGGAAGGCCGGUGGAAACUGUCGGGCUAGAGUCCGGAAGAGGCGAGUGGAAUUCCCGGUGUAGCGGUGAAAUGCGCAGAUAUCGGGAGGAACACCAAUGGCGAAGGGAGCUCGCUGGGACGGUACUGACGCUGAGACGCGAAAGCGUGGGGAGCAAACAGG